UGGGUAUUUUUCCACACACUACAAGUUUAGAAUGUUUCUGUGUUUAUGUACACAAUGAAAACAACUUUCAACAACGGAUCUCUUGGCUCUCGCAUCGAUGAAGAACGCAGCGAAAUGCGAUAAGUAAUGUGAAUUGCAGAAUUCAGUGAAUCAUCGAAUCUUUGAACGCACCUUGCACCCUUUGGUAUUCCAAUGGGUACACCCGUUUGAGUGUCUUU
rnacentral:rRNA from 1 species